rnacentral:rRNA from 1 species
GGAUUAGAUACCCUGGUAGUCCACGCCGUAAACGAUGUCUACUAGUUGUCGGUUGUCUUGUACGACAGGUAACGCAGCUAACGCGAUAAGUAGACCGCCUGGGGGGUACGGCCGCAAGGUUAAAACUCAAAUGAAUUGACGAGGGCCCGCACAAGCGGUGGAGCAUGUGGUUUAAUUCGAAGCAACGCGAAGAACCUUACCUGGCCUUGACAUCCUGCGAACUUCCUAGAGAUAGGUUGGUGCCUUCGGGAACGCAGAGACAGGUGCUGCAUGGCUGUCGUCCGCUCGUGUCG